AUGGGGAUAGCCAUUAGAAAUAGUGGGUAAUACCGAAUACGUUCGCGGGGGGAAGGGUCCUGUGAGGAAAGGGUGCUACGGCACCGGCCUGAGAUGAGCUCGCGUCCCAUUAGCUAGUUGGUGAGGUAAGGGCCCACCAAGGCGAUGAUGGGUAGCCGGCCUGAGAGGGUGUACGGCCACACUGGGACUGAGAUACGGACCAGACUCAUACGGGGAGGCAGCAGCUAAGAAUAUUCCGCAAUGGACGAAAGUCUGACGGAGCGACGCCGCGUGGAUGAAGAAGGCCGAAAGGUUGUAAAGUUCUUUUGCGAGGGAAGAAUAACCGCAGGAGGGAAUGCCUGUGGGAUGACAUGAACUUGCGAAUAAGCCCCGGCCAACUACGUGCCAGCAGCCGCGGUAACACGUAGGGGGCGAGCGUUGUUCGGAAUUACUGGGCGUAAAGGGCAUGUAGGCGGUCUGGUAAGCCUGGCGUGAAAGACCACAGCUUAACUGUGGGGUUGCGUUGGGAACUGCUGGGCUUGAGUGACGGAGAGGGAGCUGGAAUUCCUGGUGUAGGGGUGAAAUCUGUAGAUAUCAGGAAGAACACCGAUGGCGAAGGCAAGCUCCUGGCCGAUGACUGACGCUGAGGUGCGAAAGUGUGGGGAUCAAACAGGAUUAGAUACCCUGGUAGUCCACACGGUAAACGAUGUGCACUAGGUGCUGGGGCGGUAGCCUCGGUGCCGGAGCGAACGUGGUAAGUGCACCGCCUGGGGAGUAUGCUCGCAAGGGUGAAACUCAAAGGAAUUGACGGGGGCCCGCACAAGCGGUGGAGCAUGUGGUUUAAUUCGAUGGUACGCGAGGAACCUUACCUGGGUUU
rnacentral:rRNA from 1 species